CUACGGGCGGCUCCAGUAAGGAAUAUUGCGCAAUGGAGGCAACUCUGACGCAGCCAUGCCGCGUGCAGGAAGAAGGCCUUAUGGGUCGUAAACUGCUUUUAUUUAGGAAUAAACCCCCGCUCGUGAGCGAGGCUGAAGGUACUGAAUGAAUAAGCACCGGCUAACUCCGUGCCAGCAGCCGCGGUAAUACGGAGGGUGCAAGCGUUAUCCGGAUUUAUUGGGUUUAAAGGGUGCGCAGGCGGGCUAUUAAGUCAGUGGUGAAAUCCCGGGGCUCAACUCCGGAACUGCCAUUGAUACUGAUAGUCUUGAGUAUGGUUGAAGUGGGCGGAAUGUAGCAUGUAGCGGUGAAAUGCAUAGAUAUGCUACAGAACACCAAUCGCGAAGGCAGCUCACUAAGCCAAAACUGACGCUCAUGCACGAAAGCGUGGGGAUCAAACAGGAUUAGAUACCCGAGUAGUC
rnacentral:rRNA from 1 species